ncrna:Mus musculus (house mouse) microRNA mmu-mir-449c precursor
UGGGUGUGUCAGGCAGGCAGUGCAUUGCUAGCUGGCUGUUAGAACUUUAUCCCAACAGUUGCUAGCUGCACUACCCUCUGCUGCACUCA